CCUACGGGUGGCAGCAGUGGGGAAUCUUGCGCAAUGGGCGAAAGCCUGACGCAGCAACGCCGCGUGGGGGAUGAAGGCUCUCGGGUUGUAAACCCCUUUCAGCAGGGACGAAUCAAGACGGUACCUGCAGAAGAAGCCCCGGCUAACUACGUGCCAGCAGCCGCGGUAACACGUAGGGGGCAAGCGUUGUCCGGAUUUAUUGGGCGUAAAGAGCUCGUAGGUGGCUGAGUAAGUCGGAUGUCAAAUCCCCAGGCUCAACCUGGGAUCCCAUCCGAUACUGCUCUGGCUAGAGUCCGGUAGGGGAGCGUGGAAUUCCUGGUGUAGCGGUGAAAUGCGCAGAUAUCAGGAGGAACACCAGCGGCGAAGGCGGCGCUCUGGGCCGGUACUGACACUGAGGAGCGAAAGCGUGGGUAGCAAACAGGAUUAGAUACCCUUGUAGUC
rnacentral:rRNA from 1 species